AUUGAACGCUGGCGGCAGGCCUAACACAUGCAAGUCGAGCGGCAGCGGAAAGUAGCUUGCUACUUUGCCGGCGAGCGGCGGACGGGUGAGUAAUGUCUGGGAAACUGCCUGAUGGAGGGGGAUAACUACUGGAAACGGUAGCUAAUACCGCAUAACGUUGCAAGACCAAAGAGGGGGACCUUCGGGACUCUUGCAAUCAGAUGUGCCCAGAUGGGAUUAGCUAGUAGGUGGGGUAACGGCUCACCUAGGCGACGAUCCCUCGCUGGUGUGAGAGGAUGACCAGCCACACUGGAACUGAGACACGGUCCAGACUCCUACGGGAGGCAGCAGUGGGGAAUAUUGCACAAUGUGCGCAAGCCUGAUGCAGCCAUGCCGCGUGUAUGAAGAAGGCCUUCGGGUUGUAAAGUACUUUCAGCGGGGAUGAAGGUGUUGAGGUUAAUAACCUCAUCAAUUGACGUUACCCGCAGAAGAAGCACCGGCUAACUCCGUGCCAGCCGCCGCCGUAA
rnacentral:rRNA from 1 species